rnacentral:rRNA from 1 species
UGUUGAUAUUUGAGUGACCGUACCGCAAACCGACACUGGUAGGUGGGUAGAAUAUACCAAGGGGAGCGAGAGAACCCUCGUUAAGGAAUUAGGCAAAUUUCCCCCGUACGUUCGCAAUAAGGGGGGCCUCUGGUGGUGAGCUUAAUCGCAAAGCUGCUGGAGGCCGCAGAGAAAUGGCUCUUCCAACUGUUUAACAAAAACACAGGUCUCUGCUAAGUCGAAAGACGAAGUAUAGGGGCUGACGCCUGCCCAGUGCUGGAAGGUUAAGGGGAGAGGUUAGGCGCAAGCCGAAGCUUUGAGCCGAAGCCCCAGUGAACGGCGGCCGUAACAAUAACGGUCCUAAGGUAGCGAAAUUCCUUGUCGGGUAAGUUCCGACCCGCACGAAUGGCGUAAUGAGAGGAGCACUGUCUCAACGAGGGACUAGGCGAACAUUGAAGGACGUGUGAAGAUACACGUGACCCGCAGCGGGACAAAAAGACCCCGUGAAGCUUUACUACAACUUGCCAUUGAGUUAGGGCUAAACCUGUGUAGUAUAGGUGGGAGGCUUUGAAGCUGGGACGCCAGUCUCGGUGGAGCCACCGUUGAAAUACCACCCUGGUUUAUUCUUGGCUCUAACCUGUCGCCGUUAUCCGGCAUGGGAACAGUGGCUGGUGGGUAGUUUGACUGGGGCGGUCGCCUCCGAAAGCGUAACAGAGGCGCCCAAAGGUUCCCUCAGGCUGAAUGGAAACCAGCCGUUGAGUGUAAAGGCACAAGGGAGCUUGACUGCAAGACCAACAAGUCGCGCAGGGACGAAAGUCGGGCUUAGUGAUCCCACGGUUCAGAGUGGAAUGGCCGUGGCUUACCGGAUAAAAGCUACUCCGGGGAUAACAGGGUAGUCUGGUCCAAGAGUUCAUAUCGACGACCAGGUUCGCCACCUCGAUGUCGGCUCAUCACAUCCUGGGGCUGGAUAAGGUCCCAAGGGUUGGGCUGUUCGCCCAUUAAAGUGGUACGUGAGCUGGGUUCAGACCGUCGUGAGACAGGUCGGUCUCUAUCCGCUGUGGGCGUAAGGGAUUUGAGAGAAGCUGCCCCUAGUACGAGAGGACCGGGGUGGACGGACCUCUAGUGUGCCAGUUGUUCUGCCAAGAGCAUUGCUGGGUAGCUACGUCCGGCAGAGAUAACCGCUGAAAGCAUCUAAGUGGGAAACUCGUCUCAAGAUUAGAUCCCUCAUCCGUAUGGAGUAAGACCGCUAGAAGACUACUAGUUUGAUAGGCGGCAGGUGUAAGCGCAGUAAUGUGUUCAGCUUAGCCGUACUAAUGGUCGAGGGCUUACGUUU